CGACUGUAUUGGACUUGUUGGAACAACCUUGUAACAAGUCUGAUACUAAUAUCAACAAGGUUGUUACAAGUUGUUAACAGCUUGUUCCAAACUUGUUGACAACUUGGGACAAGCAGUGCGAACACAACUUGUUGACGGUUGUUGGCAGACUUGCUACAAGAUGUGAGAUUUUUACGUGUGUAGUCAAGGCUUUUAUAUAAACCGGCUCUUGUUUACGUGAAAAGUGCAUGCUACAUAUAUGCUUUCGAACCUGAUUUGCAUAACCUGCAUGCUUCUUGUAAACAUAUAUAUUAGUAUAGACGCAUCUUUGACAGGUGCCAUUUUUAUAUCGGACUCUGAUAAUAAGAAGAGGUACUACUACACUCUCUAAAUAUCGAAAUCCCGAGCGCAAGCUGGUCUUUAUAUAAAGAUUGCUCAAUCAUGGUAGUACUGGAGUUAGUCUUUGCAGCCACCUUCAUGGCGACUUUCCUUGGAGUGCAACAGUGGUUUAUUAAGAAGAAUUUCUUCGGCAGACAUCAUGUUGAGAAACACGAAGAGGUCUACAUUGUUCCUGGCGGAUACUAUGUACGUCAGUACUGAAAAUACUACUUGAACUUAUAAAGAAGAUUAAAAACAAAGAAGUUUUGUACAUUUUUCAAGGUUAUUCAAAUAAAUGAUAACUAUUUAUAUCAUGGUGAAAGAAAACGUCGUUAACUUUCUAAAGAGUAAAUGUUUGUAUAUGUCAUGUAAGUAAUCUUAUAUAUACAAGACAUACAAACGACGCAGUGGAAAAACAGAAUGAGGUUUUGUACAUUUUAUACGGUAAUAAUACGAGAAAACUUUAAGUUUUGAAAUAUUAUAUAUGUAACAUGGUAUGUAAUGUAUGUAUGCUUUAACAGUCAAUAUUAUACAUAUAUAUAUAUAUAAUAGGGUAUGUAACGUUUUUAUGUAUUAUAAACAACAAAACAUAAAAUGUUGUAUUUUUGAUACUGGUGCGUUUUUUUGCGACUCUACCUGGAUAAAAGCUAUACUUCCAUACAGUAGAGAUAAACUUCGCAGAUAUUCCUUAAUUUUCAGAAGAAAUUUUAACUAUAGAUUCUCAGUAUAUUAUUUUAACUAUACUAGAUUCUCAGUAUAUUCCGUCGAUUAAUGUUUGUAUUCAGUUACUUAUAGUUUCUAUGUAUCUAAAUGCAUGGUUUAAAACGCUGUGUAUUGAGCAAUAUAUACUUAAAUUUCGUAAUGACUAAUGACAAUAUUAUAAGUAUGUUAGUUUAAAUUAUGGAAAACA